CACACCGCCCGUCACACCACGAAAGUUUGCUGUACCUGAAGUCGUUGGCGCCAACCGCAAGGAGGCAGACGCCCACGGUAUGACCGAUGAUUGGGGUG
rnacentral:rRNA from 1 species